GGGGGGGGGUAAAUGAAGGAUUAUUAGAUGAUGAUGAGGGGUAUAAGGAGAGGAUAAGGAACACAUUUCACAGAUGACCAGAUCAAAGAGUGACAGCUUGGUGGAUCCCUUUGUCUCACUUUGUUUUUCAUCUCUCUCUACCUGGCUCCUCUCUUUUUUGGACAACCAAUAAAAGUCCACUAAUCUAAUUAGGGUUUGCUUAAAGAGACAAAGUGGAGCCUCAUCUGGACUGAGUUCGAGAAAAAAACUGCUUUUUUGUGAACUGUGGUUUGGAAAAUCUCCAGUUUUGAGGGAGGAGCAGGGAUUUUGCUUAUCAUCACUGCUUCACGUCUCACCUCUUUGCUGCUUUCAGGUUUGCUCCUAUAUGGACAAGAGCUUAUCUCCGGCAUCCAAAAAGUGCUGCACUCAAGGGAAUCGCAUACGUGCAUAAGACAGACGCUCAGGUUGACUCUAGGGACACGCAACAAGUGAAAGAUAAGAAGCAACUGUAGAUUAAAGCAGGGAUUAAAAUGAAAUGAAUUAUUAAUACCUGUAGAUUAAUUGCUGGUUUCAAUCUAAUAUUUAAACCCUAGAGUAGAUCCAUACUGAGCAGCCACAUACAGCUGAUUAAUAAUGGAGAUGGAGCCGGCAGCCCACAUGUAAACAAUGUGUUUGACAUCCACUCACUCUGACAAAAACAUUACACUGUGAUAUAUCCAAAACAUGCCAAGUCAUCAUGAUGUUAGCUAUUAUAUUACAAUUGAACUCAAAGUCUAAAAUGACAGUAAAUAUGCAUUAAGAUGGGAAAGCAGAUAAUGUCACACACAUCGUCAUGCUGACACUGUAGUUUUGAACCAGCAGUUGGGUUUUGUUUGGCUUGCGGCAUGAUGGUGAGUGUGAUUUUACUACAACAAGGGUGUGGCUGCUCUCAACUUUACCACACAAGGCACGCACACACACACUGUCUUUCAGCAUUAAAGAGCCAGUGUAGUCAUAAAUCUGCGAAUCCUCACUCCUGUUCCUCUUUGUCUAUGUGUAGCAGCUGGCAAUAAGGAGUGAAAUUCACAGUAAGAUGGAGGUCAUUAUUUAAACUUAUUUCUCUGUUAUUUAAAUAUUAUGAUCUAAACUUUUAGAAAUGAGUUUUUGUUGCCACGCAGAAAAGCUUGAAUCCAUCCUGCCUUGUAUUAUAGUUCAGGCUGAAGGUGGUGGUGUAGUAAUGUAAUAAUGUGGGGGACAUUUUCUUGGUACACUUAGUAACAGCUGAGCAUCAAUUAAGAACACCACAGACUACCUGAGUAUUGGCACUGACCAUGUCCACCGCUUUAUGAUCACAGUGCUUCCAGCAGGAUAAUGCUUUCUUGAAGGUUUUUUUUAAAGAAUUGUGUCAUGGAUGCGCAAUGGAGAAAUUUGUGAUGCCAUCAUGUCAAUAUGGAUCAAAAUCUCUGAGGAAUGUGUCCAGCAACAUGUUGAAUCUAUGCCAUGAAGAAUUAAGUCAGUUAUGAAGGCAAGGUGUUAAUAGAGUGACCAGUAAGUGAAUUUUCCUGUGUGUACUCAGGCAUCACAACCUUUUGCAACUUAAAACUGCACACAAAAGACAAACAGGUCAAACGGAUAUACACUGUCAUGAUAGUAGAACUGCUUUUACUACUAGCAGUGUUAACCAAACCGGUCAGGCAAGCCAACAGGAGCCAAGUUUUUUUCUCCCUUAAAACUGUUGGGCGGAGACAUGUGCAUGGGUGACGGCACGUUCCCCUUGCUCCUCUGCAGGCAUUUCCAAACAGAUAGAGGUACUUUUCCAUCUGUAAAGCACCACAGGAAUCAGUGCCAGUAUUUUUCCUCAUGUUUUUAGUACACAGCAUAUAUAAUAGAGAAUGUAAAGGUAUGACACAGAGGCGGAAAUAAAAUAUUAGUUUUAGUUUCGAAGAGUUUGACGUGGGCUCUCCAGGAAUUGUGUGUGCAGUACAUGUGUUGGUAAACAGAUGCACUUGUCUACCUUUGCACUCAGGUCUGUGCUUAUAAUUGUUAGAACACUAUGACCUUGUAGGUGCAGCUCAGUAUGUACUCUUGUGUGCGUGCAGACCGGGAUAAAACAUUUACAGUCAUGGCCAUAAAUCAUGUCAUGCAGGUGGCGAUUAAAUUUGCAUUACAGGCCAUAAAACUCCGGGUGUGUGCUGAAUAUUAUCAGCAGGGACUUGAGUGUUUAUAUAUGUAAUAAAAUUAUUGUUCCAUGAUAAAUCUGCAGUGAUAAUUCCACCCUGAUCCCAGCAGAUAACAACUGAGGAAUAUGCACAGAUUACUUCACCUUUGUUUUGUUUUUUUUACCUUGGUGUUAAUAAGCAUGACUUCCCUCUUGAUGAGCAUUUAAAUGCAGAUUCACUUCCUUUUAUUGUGGCUUACAGUAACUGGUUCCGUAUGUUUUAUUACAGUUUGUCGCGGUUAAGGUGCUCAAGCCUCAACUGACCUUUAGUCAGUAUUCUUCUGGAAACCACCCUGACCCACAAACCACUCUGGAUCACUUGCCUCUGGCUCCUCACUUCCCCUCUCAGCUCAACCUGUACCUACUUGGUUCAACUCGACUCUACUCAGUUUUGAGCGUCUUCCAUUACUGUCGAGUACCACCGCUAUGUACUUGGGGUCGUUACAGCAAUGUGGCCGAAAGUCCCGUGACAUCAUUUGUAUGUGACACAAUGCAACAAUGGAGGAAAUGGAGGUGAUGGUAUACCUGCUGCAUAACCAAUGCUGAGCUGAAUGAAAGAGUGGCACAGACAGGAAGGGCAGCAAAGAGGGAGGGACCUGACGCAGCCCGAGGCUACAGUCUGCAGACAGUAUGUGGACUUUUAAAUGGAGUGGGCUGAUAUGGCAUUUAAACAUGUCUGUCGCAGCAAACUCCAUUUCCUCAUGUGGGCAGGUUGUCGUCUGGAAGGAAAUCAAACUCAUUUCUGAAGGGCAAACAUGCUGAGUUGUUCUGGGAGCCAGUGUUACCAGAUGGCAUCAGGCAGAACCCAAACAUCUGUGUUACCCAACUCGGCCCGAACCAGACUCCGAAGGAUACGCAGCUGUAUAAACAGCGUGUGUGUAAAAAUGCAAGCUAUGCGGCCAAGCAAAGGGGUCCUCACCAGGUCGCUAUGAAAAGAAAUAUUAUUAAUAAUGAUAAUAAUGACAGAGGAAAUACCUAAGGUCGAGACGUGACUUUGUGUUUGUGUGACAGUGGGGCAUGGGAAAGAUACAACACAAAACCCCGGGGCCAAGAUUAGAUAGUUUGCGAGGUUUAGUAGAUUAAAAACAUAUUGGACUGUAAUUACAGACAUCACCACAAACAAUACUUAAAAUACAUGAUAUAUUCUCAUGUCUGCAACUCUGUAUGUAAGGUUAGUUUAGGUUAGAAAAGCAGUAAAACCACAAAUUUUCAUAGUUAAUGUUAAAGUAUUGUUUUUCCUAAGCACAGAGGUUUCUUGCAUGACAUCGUGCAUACAUUGCUGAACAGUUGUCUGCCAUAUUAGACGUGAUGCAAACACUAGUCACGGGAGAAAGAUGUAUAUUCCCAGUAUGGUCGGACAGUUGUUUCUGGUUAGCUGCUGGAAGUUGUUAGAUUAAAUGAGCAACUUCCACCGAAAACCUCCUUCUGAUGUCCGGUAGAUUGCCA
ensembl:lncRNA